AACGAACGCUGGCGGCAGGCCUAAACAUGCAAGUCGAACGAACCUUCGGGUUAGUGGCGCACGGUGCGUAACGCGUGGGAAUAUACCUCUGGGUGCGGAACAACGUCUGGAAACGGACGCUAAUACCGCAUAAUAUCUACGGAUCAAAGAUUUAUCGCCCAGAGAUUAGCCCGCGUCUGAUUAGCUAGUUGGUGAGGUAAUGGCUCACCAAGGCGACGAUCAGUAGCUGGUCUGAGAGGAUGAUCAGCCACACUGGAACUGAGACACGGUCCAGACUCCUACGGGAGGCAGCAGUUGGGAAUAUUGGACAAUGGGGGAAACCCUGAUCCAGCCAUGCCGCGUGAGUGAAGAAGGCCUUAGGGUUGUAAAGCUCUUUCGGCUGUGAAGAUAAUGACAGUAGCAGAAGAAGAAGCUCCGGCUAAAUUCGUGCCAGCAGCCGCAGUAA
rnacentral:rRNA from 1 species